AUUCUCACUUUGGCUGCACACAGAGUAAAUUUGGAACAAUAAAGGGAAGAUUAACAUAGUCCCUGAGUAAGGAAGACACGCAAAUUCAUUCAGUGCCCCUAUUUUUC
ensembl:snRNA U6 U6 spliceosomal RNA